rnacentral:rRNA from 1 species
UACGGAGGGUGCAAGCGUUAUCCGGAUUCACUGGGUUUAAAGGGUGCGUAGGUGGGCAGUUAAGUCAGUGGUGAAAUCUCCGGGCUUAACCCGGAAACUGCCAUUGAUACUAUCUGUCUUGAAUAUCGUGGAGGUAAGCGGAAUACGUCAUGUAGCGGUGAAAUGCUUAGAUAUGACAUAGAACACCAAUUGCGAAGGCAGCUUACUACCCGAAUAUUGACACUGAGGCACGAAAGCGUGGGGAUCAAACAGG